rnacentral:rRNA from 1 species
GACGAACCGUGCGAACGUUGUUCGGAAUCACUGGGCUUAAAGGGCGCGUAGGCGGGCUGCCGCGUCCGGGGUGAAAUCCCACGGCUCAACCGUGGAACGGCCUCGGAUACGGGCGGCCUCGAGGGGGGUAGGGGCAUCUGGAACUGUGAGUGGAGCGGUGAAAUGCGUUGAUAUUCACAGGAACGUCCGGUGGCGAAGGCGAGGUGCUGGACCCCUUCUGACGCUGAGGCGCGAAAGCCAGGGGAGCGAACGGG